ACUCCAAAAAGCACGUCGUCACCGAAAACUCUGUCGGAGAGCAUCUUCUCGCCAUCGAAAUCCGCCGCAGUCGAAGGAUCAAUUGCGACUACGAGACGGCUUCAGUUUGAGGAGAAAUUGAAGAAAAGUAGUAGCGCGAAUGUUGUGAGUAGAUAUGAUGUGGAAAAUGCUCUUGGCAGCUGAUUAUUGCGACUGAUUGGAAAUUAAAAAAUAUUUAAUUAAACUAGAAAAAAUCCCCCCUGCAAAACACGAUUGUUGCGAUUUUGCAUCCGUGACAUUUUGAAUUUCCACUGAAAAUAGCAGAUUUUUCAGAUUCAUCAAAUUUUUAGCUUUAAAAAUUUUAUUUUCUGCAUUUUCCGAACAAACUUUUUCGUUAAACAGUGAAAAUCGAAUUUAAAAUGACUAAACUGAACAUUUUUCGUCCACUGGUUGUGAAAUGGAUUGAAUUUGAAAAAAUCAAUGGGAUUUUUCUUAUUUUCUAGAUAUUUUUCUAUUAAAAAUGUAUUAAAACCGAUUUUCAAUAGAAAAAUUUUUAGAAAAUAAGAAAAAUCCCGUUGAUUUCUUCAAAUUCAAAACAUUUCACAGCCAGUGGACGAAAAAGGUUCAUUUUAGUCAUUUUAAAUUCGAUUUUCACUGUUUAACGAAAAAGUUUGUUCGGAAAAUGCAGAAAAUAAAAUUCUAAAGCUAAAAAUUUGAUAGUUCUGAAAAAUCUGCUAUUUUCAGUGGAAAUUCAAAAUGUUGCGGAUGCAAAAAGCCAAACCGGAUUUCUCUCCAUUUCCAGACAGCGCCUCCUGCACCUACAUCAGCACCAGUUCCAACGCCACGCCACGUGGCUCCAUUGGCACCUACAGUAGCCCAGCAGAGCCACUUGACUCCAAACCAUCGUCAUGCUGCUCAACAAAAGAAGCACCUGUUCCCCGUAGUGGGGAUCGUCGCGACUGCACCGAUUCCAGUUCAAACUCAAUGGAGAGGACAAUCGAAUACUCCAGUUGUGCAGGGAGCUCGUGCCGACGAGAAGACUGCUGGUAAUGAGCCACCAGUUGGAGCCGGAGUUGGAAAGCUGAAGAAUUUGAAGUCGAGAUGGGAGUUUUCGUCGGCAACUGGCACGCCAAUACAUCCUGAUGCUACCGAAGAUUCGUUGAUUGCUACGGCAAUUAAGAUGAAGGAGAGUGCGAUUCCGAAACAGCUUGGUCACAGAUCAGAGCGAAAAGGACCAUCCGCCUCGUCGCUCUACUCGCAAGGUGCUCGGAGUAACACGGCUUCUCCUGCAUCGAAAAGUACUCGUUAUGAGCAAGAAGAAGAAGAUGAUGUGUUUGAAGCUCCAGAAUUUAAUGAUGGAGGAGACGUGAUAUCAGAAGAUGGAAUUCUUCAGGAAGAAGAAGAGGAUACUUCUAAAUUCAUUGAUAAUGCAUUUGGAUUUAUGGAAGGAUCUGGGGCUGGAACGCCGAGCCCAUAUCGCGAGCCUCCGUUGCAACGUUUGGAAAAGAAUAGGCCGCCGGCGGAGGUUAUUGAAGAAGAAACUGAAAAUGAGGAUGAAUCUGAACCCUAUGAGCCGGAAGAAGAAGAGGAUGACGAUGCAACAACACAAUUUCCUGUACCUGAAAGAUCACGAAAAUCAAGUUCUCAACUGGCCUACUCUGUUUCGUUUUAUCGAAAAAUUCAACGAGACAGAAACGAAGAAUCGUCGACAGUGCUGGCCGGGCCAGUUAUCAGUCAAAUCAGUCCAUCUGCUCCGCCGAUGUCAUCAUCGCUCACAUCACAACAGAAACUUCGACAGCUCACCACCGGGCCUGCGAAUGGAGCACGAAUUGUCGAGUCGGCUAAGGAUGCUCACGAUCGUAUCAAGCGAGCGAUUCAAGUUGAAGAGCAGCUUGUUGCUCAAUCCAAGAGAGCAAUGAUAUUGGCCCGGGAUAAGCCAAGUUUCCGUGGAUCGCGUGAGGAAUUUGAAGCACAAUGGGCAAUGCUUCGUCAUGUGGAAAAGCAUCGAGCACUUCUCACUGAGUAUGAUCGAUUGAAACGAGAUGGACCGAGAAUGUUAGUUUUUUUUUUCCGAAUUUUUUUUUCACCUAAAAAAAUAUUCAAUUUUUUUCCAGUAUCGAUGGACCACGUGGAACGAUAACAGUAUCCCAGUUGUCAGUGAACAUGGCUCGUGAUUAUGUGUCAGCUAAUAUUGCGUCAAGCAAGAAAUCCGAUGAAGUCUUCUAUUUCGCGGCGAUUCUCCGCUACGGCGAGCAAGUCGACGUGUCGAAAAUGGUGACAAGCGACGGUGGUCUGAAUCGUCGUGGUGUUCUCGAGUUUCCCGUACCACUGAUGUUGACCGGGAUUCCACCGGAUUUCCGAGCAACUGUCGAGAUUUAUGGACAACGAUCGAUGCGAGAAUCGACGUCGCACGAGGAUAAGUACAAGUUGAAGAAUUCGACGUUUAAGGCGAAGG
rnacentral:sRNA from 1 species